rnacentral:misc_RNA from 1 species
CUUUGAUGUCUGAAUUUCUAUUAGUGCAGUUUGUGAGAACAAAUAUUUCUUAAUUUCAAGUAAACAAGUAACUAUUGAAAAGCAAAUAACAAAAUGAGUGGAGGAGGGAAUAAUUCUGCACGACCACCACCAAGAAUUGAUGGAAUGAUUUCCCUUAAGGUUGAUAAUUUGACAUAUCGUACUACACCGGAGGAUUUGAGACGUGUAUUCGAGCGAUGUGGUGAGGUUGGAGAUAUCUACAUACCCCGUGAUCGAUAUACUCGUGAAAGUCGUGGUUUCGCAUUUGUUAGAUUUUACGACAAACGUGAUGCAGAGGACGCAUUAGAGGCUAUGGAUGGCCGAAUGCUUGACGGUAGGGAGUUACGUGUACAGAUGGCUCGUUAUGGUCGUCCUACUUCUGCAACACGAACAAAUAACAGACGUGGUGGCGGUGGCGGUAGACGCCGUUCUCGUUCACCUGCACGCAGGCGAUCUCGUAGUCCACGACGACGAUCAUAUUCGCCACGUUCAAGAUCACGUUCAGCAGGUAGUCGUUCACCUGCUCGUCGAAGCAAAUUUUCACGAAGUCCAGUUGGACGAAAGUCACUAAGCCGUAGUCAAAGUCGCAAUGGUGUAGCUGGGCGUAGUGUUUCACGUAGUCGCAGCCGCUCUUAAAGGAUUUCUAACAAAGUCAUUGAUUUAAUAAAAGAGAAUUGCCCAACAUCGUGACCAGUAUGCAUUAAAUACUUUCAUGUGUUGAUUAGCGGCGACUUCAUAUAAAAGCGCAGUCUGCGUUUAAUGCUGCUAGAUCAACAGGCAAACAAAGAUUGCUGUAAGGGCAAGGGCUGCUGUAAAGUGCGAAAAGUGAGGCAGAUAUUAUAAUGAAAUAUGUAAAAAAAAAUGUUUGGGGAGAUAUAAUGUGCAAGGAGCAGGAGGCAGAGAUUCGUAAAUUCAUUGAUGGCUGCAACGUAGCGAAUUUAGGAAAACGUACUCCUGUUACUCUUGUUGCUGCUACAGCCGCUGUUUGCUGUUGUUCCAGCGUAAUAUUUGUACACCACUUGAGCCGCUGCACUUAACUAUGCCUAACACUUCGAUUUUAUUUCUCGAGCCCUCUGAGAAAACUAAUCCAAGUGUUAAGCUGUUAUUAAUUCAAUAUUCGUGUUCGCAUCCUAUAAAUGAAAAUGUUGCUGUUAAUUAACGUUGAAGUUGCAGCGUCAAUUCCGUUUUAUUAAACGAAUUUCGUAAACAAAAUGUCCGGACCAAGUACAUCUAAAGCAUACUUGAUGUGUAACGGAACCAGUCAUGUAUAUACUUUGACGGUUUGAUUGUGUACGCGUGUAUGCGCAGCAGUUGGAGCGGUGUACGGAUAGAAUAUAUUAAAUACCUACGAUUUAGACCCAAGUUCAGCGAAAUCUCAAAUAUGGUGCAUAUGUUUGAAGGCAGUGCAGUAUAUGUAGAGCGGAAGUUUGGCAGGUAAUGCUGUAGCGAAAAUUACUGUUGCAACUACCUGUAACUGGUGGCUGUUUGUUGCUGCUAUUCGCUGUUAUUCACUUCAGUACGCUUCUUCGUACGAUAUUCGACUUCAUUUGGGUGGUAGUUAGUUGGUGGUCCGGCGUUUCGAGUUCUGAAUUGUUGCUGUCCCUACGAAAGAUUUUGUUUCUCCAAGUUUGCAGCACAGGUAAACCAGUUAAUGUUUGGCAAAUUGCUGAUGUCCGACAUGCAUUUCGCGGGAUGUGAUGCUAAGUACAUUUGAAAAAGAAUCUGGCGAUGAUGCUACAGGUAGGUAAUUGCGAUUAUCUAUACUAAUUAGAUUUUUUUACAGACCAACAUCUAGAUAUUUUAUAAAUUUUAAUAAAUAAACAUGCAAAGCAUGAUAUAAAGAUCGACGUUUUUUCUUAAUAAACGAAAGAUUGCAGUUGCUUGGAUGACAGGAUCACGAAUUUCCGAAAUUUAUUGUUAGUGUGGUUGUGUGCGAAACUAUUAUUUUCAAAUGCCGUGUUAUUAUUUAUUUCCAUUUCCAUGGUGCUGUUGCUAUGCUUUCUUCGAUUAAAUUUCAAGUAGUCGGGGCGUUAUAUGCCAUUUGCAUCAUUCAAAAUAAAAACGUUUGCGUUUAUACAUUCGGUAAACUAUUUUUUUUUCCUAAACAAAUUCGAAAAGCUUAAGAAAUGAAUUGUAAGAGUAACAAAAUGGCAAAAGUAAAAAUACGCGUUCGAAAUGUCUGGUUUGAACCUGACUUGAGUACGGAGGGUAUUUACCUUUGCCCCAUGCCCCAACCACCUCAAGCGCCAGCUGGUGCAUUGUGGUUUACAAAUUUGAAACCAUACGAACGGCUUUUCUACCAUCAGACAUUGAAUUCUGUACGGAAAAGUAAACGUUUUCUUGCCACACCUGAGAUACCCAACGACUCUUUGGAUUUCCAGCUACAAUCACGGUACGAUCACUCCAGUGAAAUAUUUCCAGAGCGUGUAGAUACACUAUUGCAAAGAGAAACUUGUGCUUGUGAAAGAACCGAUGAUUCACCAGAUGGCACAGUGGAAUUGAGUUCAUUUCGAGUACUUAAAAAUGUGAAGACGGUACAGUUACCCGCAGGUGACAAUCAAGAUCAUCCACUAAAAAUUGGUGGAAUUAAAGAAAAAAUUUCACCACAUAGCGUUAAAUUGAUCAAUAGUGGUGUACACAAUCAAUUGGUAAACAACGGGUUUUCACGACAAACUGGGGACGGAAAUUUUUUCCGAUAUUAACGGAGAUGAUCAUUGCCGUAUUCCAUGCAGUUUUGAAAAAUAUGUUUUUUUAAGAUACGUUAUUGAUAGUUCCAAAGCUUGUCCAAUAAAAUUUGCCAUGUUAAAAA